UUGGGCUUCAAAUAAAUAGAAUCAUGAAACAUUUGAAAAUACAGAUUUUUUAAAAUCUGCUUACAACAAAGGUACUUUCAUCUGACCAAGCUCUUGGCAACCCUGAGACCAGAACUGGACAGUCUGGCUGGAAGGCUUCCUUCAGCUUACUCUAUGACGGUGAUGAUUACAUGGGCCAAUCACUUGACUUUUAAAUACAAAGAAACCCCACAGAUUCAACUGCAUUGUUGAGCUUCAAGGUUAACAUGCGGUCGGUCAAGUUCUGGAAAGCAAAAAGGUGCUUCUGUGACCAGCACCGAUGAGAUGGAUGUGGAUGGCAAGGCUGUGUGUGGGAGCCACUGAAAUGACCCGCUUCUGCCUCCCCUAGUUCCCAUGGAGCUGGAGACUGUAGGUCACUGGGUCGUAGCGAGUCUGACGGAUUCACACCUGAACGACAGCAGUUUGCAUAAACUAACAAAAUUGCAGCUCAGCCACUAUCGUGAAGUUAUCCAAUUUUUUAUGCUGACAAGAUCGGGGCAUGAAAGAUGAGAUCAGACACUUGAUCCCCACGGAAAGCCAUUAAUAUUACUUCCCUGAGAGAGUGGAAGAGGGGGAGAGGACUCUAAACAGCCUCAUCUCAGCAAUAUCAGGAGCCAGAAAUGCAUGCAAGCUAGCAUCAGGAAUUUGGCUAGUCCUUUUGAGCCAAGCCAAGAAAACAACUAAAAUUAGGUGGGAGAGACUUUAAAUAACCAGGAAGCCAGCUGCAAUUUUCUGUCAAUGGAGCACUUGUCUUAUUACUGUGAAUUAGUUUCUGCCUUGGGUGUUAAUCCCACUAUCCCACCAAUCCCAAAGACACAGAGAGAACCCAGUAUAAUGACAGGAAAGAGAGUCGCUGAUGCUGUAAUCUCACAUGGAAAAUAGGCCGGAAGAAGUGACAACGGCAACAACAUUUUGGGAGCUGGAAAGCAGAGAGAUGAGGGGGUCACUGACUUAGCACAGCAGAGAGCCGAACUGCAAGUUGGCAGUAGGGGUGACGAUGUGGAUAGACGCACACCCUGGGAGCUUUAUGCCUCACUCAGUAUUUAGCAGCAUGAGGUGCCUUUGGAAAUCGGGUGUGUGAAAAGUAGAGAAGUCCAGGAUGGGGACAGGGAGUUGAUCCCUGCGUAUGAAUUAGUAGGAGGCUCUCAGGUCCUAAUCCCUCCACGCUGUAGAAGAAGACCUUGUUCCUCCUGGCAGUGGCUGGAAGCUUCUUGACUUUCGCACACAAAGGGCUGGGGCAUGAACCCAAGCAGAGGCGAGGGUGAAGCACCACAGUGAGGAGAGAUGCCAGUGGGCUUUUAC